ACGACCAGUUCAGUAACCGCCGCUCACCUUGAAAGAGUGGUCACACUGUAGCGAGUGCUGUCAGGGAGUGUAGAAGUCCACGUUAGACACACAACAAUCGGCGAUCUUCUUUUUUUUUUCAUUUUUUUCAAUGUUUAUUGUGAAGUGUGCGUGGGUGUUUGAUUCUCGUCGUAGGUCUUUCGUUGAAAGCUGUAUUUCAACAUCAGUUUGCCGGUGCGUGAUGGCAGAUUGUUGUUACUAACUGCGACUGAAACGUGGACGAAAACCCUCUGUGUGUGUUUUGGUUUUGCACUCGGUUUUGCCAAAUCGUAUUUCAUUGUGCCCCCACAGCUGACACGUCGUGUGGUAAGAAGAGAUUGGAAGUAGUUUAGAUUUAGAAGGAUUGAAAUCCUUUUUGACGCACCACCAAAAACCGAAAAUGAUGAACUUUUAUGAGAAUCUCUGCUUCCGGUGCGACCAGACGGUGUACCAGGUGGACCGUGUCGGCCCACUGAAGGACUUUACGUUUUUCCACCAGGGCUGCUUUAAAUGCUCGGCGUGCGGCACGAAAUUGACGCUCAAAACCUAUUACAAUAAUCAGGAUUCUAAUGACGACAAGGAGGUCUAUUGCGUGAGCCACGUACCCAAAAUCGGACCCGGUCACCUGGACGGAUCGGCCGUGGGUAUUCGCUCUGCCUUGAAUGUGCCCAAGUCGUUCAACUACGUCAACGAACAGAUCCGCGGAGGAGGCAAAGGCACUUUUGACGCCGAGGCGUUGGCCAUUAAGCCCCACCUAAACAACGGCCGUCAUGGCGGUGAGAACGGACUGUUUGCCGAACACCAGUACGGCCGUUUCGAUGCCAGCGCUCUUCACAUUGCUCACGCUCUACGCGCCACCGAGCUCCAGCGCAGUUACAGGCGACCUAUUGAAAAGCCUCUUGACUCUUAUCUGGACAAAGACACUCAAGUUCGAUUGGAAAUGAAACACCGUAAGGAAGAGGAUGACCUGUACCGCAAAUUCGCCCGGCAACGCGAAGAAGAAGAGUUUAAAUUCAAGGAAGAAUUCCGGGAAGAGUGGGAGAAGGAGCUGGAGAAGUUGACGUCACGGUUCGAGCGUGAGCUGGCCAACAAACGGAAGAAACCCGACGAGCAAAAAGUGUUGACUCUGAGACUGCAAAGGGAGCGCGAGGAUCUCGAAAAGAAUCUAACCGUCCGCCGUGACAAGAAAAAGGAGUCGCUCACCCGCAAGCUUCUGGAACAUGAACGGGCGGCGACUGCAGCGCUGGUGGAAAAACAGAGCAAAGAGAUGAUGAACCUAAUCAACGAAAAACGCUCCGAGUUUAUGCGUGCCGAGAGCCUUUACAUCGAUGAUGACUAUCAAACAGAAGAAUUGUUUCCUUACCCAAGUAACGCGCCUGCCCCUCAACCACCCGGUGUGGCCAAAACUGAUAUCUAUCACGACCCACUGGUUUUUGCCGAUAUCGAUCAAAUUGCUAUCUCGGUGGCACAAGAAGAUCAGAAAACAUUCACAGACCUUGUACGCAUGUUGAUUGGACGAUGUGGAUCCGAUGUCGAAAAAGCCAGAACCAUUUUCCGGUGGAUCACGGUCAAGAAUUUGAAUACGAUGCAGUUCGACGACACCGUUCGUACUGACACACCCAUGGGUUUGCUGCGAGGCAUCAAGCACGGCACGGAAAGUUACCACGUCCUGUUCAAACGCAUUUGCAGCUAUGCUGGUCUCCAUUGCGUGGUCAUUAAGGGCUAUUCGAAAUCAGCCGGUUAUCAGCCGGGAGUGCGCUUCGAGGACAACCGCUUCCGCAACUCGUGGAACGCCGUCUAUGUCGCCGGUGCCUGGCGCUUCGUUCAAUGCAACUGGGGCGCACGUCAUUUGGUCAAUGCCAAAGAGGUGCCUAAACCUGGUAGCAAAAGCAAAUCCGACAGUCUUCGCUACGAGUACGAUGAUCAUUACUUCCUAACGGAUCCUAAAGAAUUCAUCUACGAAUUCUUCCCUCUUCAAGCCGAAUGGCAACUGCUUAAAACCACCAUCACGCUCAAAGAGUUUGAAGACCUGCCUUUUGUGCGUUCCCUCUUCUUCCGUUAUGGAUUGUACUUCCCAGAUGACAACACCAAGGCAGUUAUGGUUACAGAUUCCACAGGAGCUGUUACCAUUCGGAUCGGUAUGCCGUCCAACAUGCAAGCCAGUCUGAUUUUUCAUUAUAACCUUAAAUUCUACGACAAGGAUACCGACACGUUCGAGAACAUCAGUUUAAAGCGUUUCGUCAUGCAGUCUGUUGUUGGCAACGUUGUUGCCUUCCGAGUUCACGCCCCGUGCAGUGGAUCGUUCCUGCUGGACAUCUUCGCUAACGCAGUGACGCCACGCGAGUACCUGACUGGAGAACCCAUGAAAUUCAAAAGCGUUUGCAAGUUCAAGAUUGUUUGCGAGGACCUUCAGACAGUUAUGGUACCAUUGCCGGACUGCGCUAGUGGUGAAUGGGGUCCAAUGAAAGCGACCCGUCUCUUUGGUCUCGUGCCCAUCACGCAUCAAGAUGCACUCAUCUUUGCCGGCCGCGAGCUGGAAUGCCAAUUCCGCAUGUCUCGCCCUCUGACUGACUUCAUGGCCACGCUCCACAAAAACGGUUCGGAGGAGAAGAGGUUAGCAAAAUACGCUACGCACUACGUGACUGACGAUCUGGUCACGUUUAAAAUCAGUUUCCCCGAAGAGGGUCAGUACGGCAUGGAUAUUUACACGCGUGAAGUCAAUUCCAUGGGAAAUAGCAGUGGCAAUAAUGCUGAACAUAGCAACGAGAAACACCUGUUGACUCAUUGCUGUAAAUAUCUGAUCAACUCUUCGAAACGUAACCAGAUUUAGAGUUGAAUUUUCUACCGCUAAACAGCUUACCCAUCUCUUCUUUCUCUACGUUCUGUUUCUGCCUUAUCUGUUUCGGUGCUAAAUUAACAAGGUAAUCAAGUAGCAACUGGUUCCUCAUCCAAUCACUAAAGCAACACAGUAGCUGCACUGAUUCCUGCAUUCAUUAUAAUUUUUUUGGUUUUCGUUUUUUCCUCGAUCGCUAUUUGAAAAGAACGGAGACACUGUGAAGCCGUGUGAAAGCCGGCCUUCCGUACGAUACCAUUCGUUUCAUUCACAUUACGUGCGAAUGAAACAGACGUUUAUGUUGAUAUUUUUUUCCCCUUUAUUUUUCUGGGUAGUAAGGCAGCUUCACAUCGAUGACGAUUACGUUUGAAAACGGAGGGAAAAUGAUUUUUUUUCUGCCUAUUUUUUGUAUAUUCUUUAUAACCAAGAUGCAGAUGCCUUUUCACAUAAUUGUUAACUCUUCUUUUUUUCAAGAGUAUUUAGUCCUCUCAACCCGAAUAUUGUCGUACGUUUCAUUAUAUUACAUUCCUUGUAACGAGAUUAAAAAAAAAAAAAAAAACUAAACAAAAACAAACAAAAGAAAAACAAAAUUGGAAAUAUGGUUACAGUGAUUCACUUCUAUUGUUGUAGGCAUAUUUAGAAACUAACACGGUUUUAAUAACCUACAGUGCAUUCUGUAGAAUCGUGAAGUAAAAGACAUUCUAAAACUGUGUAAUCACAAGUAUGGCAGUUGGUCAACUGCUGAUGACUGAAGUCCUAAUACAAAAGAAAAAUGGUGCUUGUAAUACACUAGAAUAAAACAACA
rnacentral:misc_RNA from 1 species